UGGAAGUUUCCAUGGCAGCUUCUGAGAGGCCCUUUGUCUCAGCAAUGGAGAAAAGGAAACAGCCCAGGAUGGACCAGCGAUCCCAUCUAAUGAGCAAUCUGAAUGGUCGAUGCUGGCGUGUUCGUGAAUCCCAAUCCCGUUCCGGAUGAUCCUCAGGGAGCCCUCCUUAAAGGCACCAGAGCACGUGACCAGCUAGAGAGAGCAGGUUGAACCUUAGUGUGUGACCAAAAGUGAUGGAAUGUGUGUAAUCUCUUGCUAUGAUCCUGUCAACCCACAGAAAAAGUCAUCAGAUGUCUAGGAAACCAAGAAAAGAGAUCACUUGCGACUGACGAAGGAUACUUGUUAUUGCAGAUGUGUUUUGUGAUUGAUAAGACAAUAAACUAUUGAGAUGUUUUUAAUUCAUCAGGA